GACGAACGCUGGCGGCGUGCUUAACACAUGCAAGUCGAGCGGUAAGGGCCCUUUCGGGGGUACACGAGCGGCGAACGGGUGAGUAACACGUGGGUGACCUGCCCUCAGCUCUGGGAUAAGCCUGGGAAACUGGGUCUAAUACCGGAUAUGACUCCAUGACGCAUGUUGUGGGGUGGAAAGCCUUGUGCGGCUGAGGAUGGGGCCCGCGGCCUAUCAGCUUGUUGGUGGGGUGANGGGCCUACCAAGGCGACGACGGGUAGCCGGCCUGAGAGGGCG
rnacentral:rRNA from 1 species